GCUUGCCCCUCCCCCCUGACUGAGCUGUGAGCCUAGUCUCUUCCGCCGCCCCCCAUUCCCCCACACUGGAAAUUUGCCCAGAUGGAGAUCGGAGGACCAGAAAAAAAGUCAUGCCCAGGAAAACCCAGGAAGAAGACAAAUAAAAAGCAGGGGACAAACAUUUUCUUCCCUUUGCAAGUUGCCUUUGGCUGUCAGAUGCACAGUGACCCUGCUGGCUGCUCUUUGAGCCAGGCUGUUUUCUUAGGACUGGGACGGGCCUGGGUUUCAUGCUAAUGCCAUGUGCGUGUGCACUGCCUGCUGAGGCCAGUGUUGGCUCCAUGUACAUAAUCACAGCCUGUUGUUACAAAUCACUGGAGCAGAAUGGGAUGUUACGGUACAGCUUGAUUUUGUCUCAGUACUAUGGCAAUUAACACAGCAUAUGCAGUGGGCAUGGCUGAACCUCCAAACUAGGGAGGGAGGGGUGUGUGUGUGAGUGAGAGUGAGAGUGAGAGUGAGAGUGACAGCUCCAGCCCUUAGACCAGGACUCAUGCAGCUGGAUGCUCAGCUCCUCACCAGGAUUCAUGCAGCUGGAUGCUCAGCUCCUCUUUGAAUACAGGAUGGGUCAGAACCAUGCCCCUCUCCGAGUCACACGAACCCUUUCUCUGCAAUGGUGCUGAACUCUGGCAGGAGGUAGGGAUAUGUGACAGCUUUGUGUGUCACAAGGAACAGCCAACCCAGACAGUGAUUUCUAAUUCAUGGACUUUUCUUGGCAAGGGAAAUUGGACGAUUUUUUGACUUAGAACUGUGUGAACACAGGGAGCCUUCUUCAUCACAUUUCCAUGUAUGUAUCUCUAGGGAAUGU